AAUUCAGUCGGAACUGACUAAGGGCCAUAUCUUAUGAUUCUAUGUCAUGUUAUGAUUGCAUGUGAUCUUGCUAGGUUUAAUUUUUGUGAUCUUGUGAUUUCAUGUGUUGAUGCACAUGUGAUGAUGUGGUGUGAAGUAGUGGCGUGUGGUCCUUGGCAUUAUUUUCAAACCCCCUUGUUAGUUUCAAACCUUUUCUCUCUUUUAUUCCCAAGCUCAAAAUUUCACUUGCUCUUUACCUGGUUUUAAAAUGUCCUCUGUUUACUGAAUAUUGUGGGUAUUAUGUUGUGCAAGAUUUGGUGUUUUUGUUAGGUGUUCUAAAGGUG
rnacentral:lncRNA from 1 species